GCUCAAGAAUUCUGUCGUAAGCCCUCCGGCAUGACAGAAUGGCAACCGCUCCCGCAAGACGGUGCUACCGGAGGAAGAGCUGGUCGACGAGGUCAGUCGACAAGGCGGGAAG
rfam:Ferrithrix thermotolerans DSM 19514 genome assembly, contig: EJ54DRAFT_scaffold00049.49